rnacentral:rRNA from 1 species
UCCAGACUCCUACGGGAGGCAGCAGUGGGGAAUAUUGCACAAUGGGGGAAACCCUGAUGCAGCAACGCCGCGUGAGUGAAGAAGUAUUUCGGUAUGUAAAGCUCUAUCAGCAGGGAAGAAGAAAGACGGUACCUGACUAAGAAGCCCCGGCUAACUACGUGCCAGCAGCCGCGGUAAUACGUAGGGGGCAAGCGUUAUCCGGAUUUACUGGGUGUAAAGGGAGCGUAGACGGCUGUGCAAGUCUGAAGUGAAAGCCCGCGGCUCAACCGCGGAACUGCUUUGGAAACUGUAUAGCUUGAGUACUGGAGAGGCAGGCGGAAUUCCUAGUGUAGCGGUGAAAUGCGUAGAUAUUAGGAGGAACACCAGUGGCGAAGGCGGCCUGCUGGACAGAAACUGACGUUGAGGCUCGAAAGCGUGGGGAGCAAACAGGAUUAGAUACCCGUGUAA